UGCCUUUUGUGUUGCCCAUUCACUUUUGUCACUAGUGGAUGUGGUGUCAAAAAAGGCAGAAAUAAAUACUUUGCAGCUUUUUCUCAUCUUGGGAUUUUUGUUCCUUUGUUGAGUGUGCUGUAUAAGUAACAGUU